GACGAACGCUGGCGGCGUGCCUAAUACAUGCAAGUAGAACGCUGAAGGAGGAGCUUGCUUCUCUGGAUGAGUUGCGAACGGGUGAGUAACGCGUAGGUAACCUGCCUGGUAGCGGGGGAUAACUAUUGGAAACGAUAGCUAAUACCGCAUAAUAGUAGAUGUUGCAUGACAUUUGCUUAAAAGGUGCAAUUGCAUCACUACCAGAUGGACCUGCGUUGUAUUAGCUAGUUGGUGGGGUAACGGCUCACCAAGGCGACGAUACAUAGCCGACCUGAGAGGGGGAUCGGCCACACUGGGACUGAGACACGGCCCAGACUCCUACGGGAGGCAGCAGUAGGGAAUCUUCGGCAAUGGACGGAAGUCUGACCGAGCAACGCCGCGUGAGGGAAGAAGGGUUUCGGAUCGUAAAGCUCUGUUGUAAGAGAAGAACGAGUGUGAGAGUGGAAAGUUCACACUGUGACGGUAUCUUACCAGAAAGGGACGGCUAACUACGUG
rnacentral:rRNA from 1 species